rnacentral:antisense_RNA from 1 species
AGGGGCAACCCAGGCAGAGAGCUGAGAACACAGGGGCAAUAAGCCUCGCUAUCACCUCCACCCCCAAGUGCUUGGCUCCCAAGGGACAGCUCUAAAAUCCCCAGAAUCUCAGGCUGGUGGGUCCAGCUGAGAAUCCUAGUUUUCACUUUCUCCUCCCAAAAAGGAAAGAACCUUGGUCACUAAAUUCUAUGCCUUCUGGAAAUCACUCUGCUAAUGACUUCCCGAAUGAUCAAUUGAGGCCAACAGCUGGCCCAGCCCUGCGUGGAGCAGUAAGAAACCCUCAUCUGUCAGAGUUAAGGGGCCUGAAUGGGUACAGGUCACAUUCUUGGAGCUCAAGGUGACAGGCCAGAGCCCAGGUCCCCAGGACAGUGCAGCACCUUGUCCAGGCGGGCCUCCCGUUUCUGGCUCCGUGCUGAGCUUCCUGGAGAAGGGGAAGGUAAGAUACAUGGAAGAGAUGGAGGUGGUGUGCACCAGACCUACCUGGACCUCACUCAUCACUUGGGGAGCUGGUUAAACAUGCAGGUCCCCAGGCCUCUGUCUUGGAGGACCUGAGGUUCGG